CUGUUAUCCUUUAUUCGUUUUGAUCCAUUAGAGGCCAGCAGAAAUAGUAGAUGAAGAAGAAGAUGGAGAGAAAGAAAGCAAGGCCACAGAAAAAAAAGAAGAGUUCUUAGGAAUGAAUGGUGAAGUUGAAGAGGAAGGAAAUGGGGAGGCUACUGCUGCCUCCAAGCAAGCCGAGGAGACGCUGGGCCAUGGGGAGGAGCAGACAGGCCCUGCUCGUGUUAAUGGAGGCACCGAUGAAGAAAAUGGCGAGGAAAUAGAUCAGGUCAAUGAUGAGCUGCAGGAGGCAGAGGAUGAGGAAAUAAAGUCUGCAGGAGCUGGCAGUGGACAAGAGGAGGAUGACUUAGACCCUCAAAGACCACCAAGGCCAGAAGUAAAAAUCACUAGUCCGCAGGAAAAUGGUGACAACCAACAAAGCAAGGACUAUGCUGUCGUAGCAUAGAUGAUUUUUAAAAGAGUAUAUUGAUUAUAAGAAAAAUGAAGGUUAUAAUACUUGAAUAAUAAGUAUAGUUAUUGCUAAACACGUGACAAUAUGGUUGAAUACUACCUGCUGAAUUUUCAAAUAAGAGCCUUAAUGGAAAGACUAGAUAACUGAAUAGCUACUAAAGGAAAGUGACUUCUUUUUAUGGGAAGUGUUUUUAAAAGUCAUUUAGAAAAAUAAGAGAGACAGAGGGGAAUUUACACUGGAAGACAGUUGGGUGACUGUUUCUGUAAAGGAUGAAAAAGAAUAGAAUUACUCCUAUUGUAUACUUGAUUACAAAUUUAGAAGCAAGAUUAUUAGAUGGCAGCUUAUGCUAAAGCACUUAUCUAAAAAGUCAUAGAGUAUUAAAGAAAUGAUAAUAGGAAAGCAUGUACUAUUUUUUUAAAGCAAUAAACUCUUGAAUAAACAAAUUGCAAUUUAGUUUCAGAGAUAAUUUGGAGAUGGCAAUGGACUGAAUGACUUGUUGACAUUCCUUCCUUUCUUCUUUCUUAGCCAAAAACCACCUUAAAAGAAUUAAAAAGAAUGUAAGGUAUUCAUUUUGGAAAGAGGAAGUAUUCAUUCGGUGUAUUAGUGAUUAAUAUUGUAAUGUUCCUCCCUUAAGUGCUUCAGGUUUUAAUCCUUGUGAUUUUCAUGACACACACUCAGGAAGGAAUUUUAAAGGAACAUCCAAUUACAUUACUGAGCCUGGCUGGAUGGUUUUCAAAUUCUGGUAUCCUAUGGGUUUUCACUGACCCGGUCUACCUUUACCAAUAAUAUCCCUUGCUUCUUCCUCAUGUUAUUAUAUUAGGAAACAAUAUUGGCUGCUCCAAAGACGGAAUUCUCUCCAAAUAGUUUUGUUACAAAAAAAACACAAUUGUGUAAUAGAAAGGAAAAAGUAGGCUUAUGAAGAGUUUGUCACUGCUUAGUUUCACUUGCUUUUUGCCUUAUUUUUAUUAGGACUGCCUUGUCAUAUUUUGGCCCUAAGGAUACUAGUAAUAUUUAUUUUCAAGCCAGUUAUGUUUAGACUCUCAAGCAGAUUCCUUUUUAUGUAAUUAGAAGUCAUCUAAUAGAAACUGUUGAAAAAGGUUUAAAAAUUGUCAGAAUGAAACCAGUUCCCAAAUACUAUUUUGUGGGCUGGUUAAAUUAUUGUAAGUCAAACUUGCCUUGUUAGGUAUAUGUGGGGAAAAACAUAACUGUAUUAGUUUUUUGAAUUCUCAAGAGAUUAUGCAGUUCUUCCUUAAGUAUCAAAAUAACAUAUUUUUCUUAUAUUAAAGGAUAUUUUUGUUAAUUGUGUAGAAAUUAUAAAUUUGAAAUUUAAAAUGCUAGUGCUUUCAUAGAAUUCAUUAUUAAUAAUAAGUUCAAAAGAUUUUUUUUUCCUCCAGGUUUUAUAACCAUUUGGAAUCAGAGUACUUAUAUAAAGCAUUUAAUAAUUCUAUAGAAAAUGGGUGUAUUUUUUCUAGUAGCUAUUUUAAUAUUUUCCACAAAUAGGAAGUAUAAGCAGAGACUAUAAUGUAACAGUAUUGGAAAGAGAUAAUUAUAUAAAGGUAUAUUAAUCUGGAAGGAUGAAUUAUAAAUGGAAUACUACAUUUCUAGUAUAAAACCUAGAUUGUGCUGUCUACUAAUAGGCUUAUUUUUCAAGUGGGAUAAUAUAAAAUACCAUAGACUACAGGCAACAAUCUUUCGUUGCUAAGGAAAUAAGACUAUUUGGUUUUUUAAUGUUAAAUUCUCACACUAUUACUGGGUCUGAGGUUAAUGAUUUUAAAUCAUUUGUAAAAAUAAGAGAUUAAAUAUAAGAAAUUGUAACUAAUUAUCAAGGUGAUUUUCCUUUCUCUAAUGAGGAGUUUUUCUCUCUUUUUCUUCUCUAAUAAAGAUAUUCGGUCUCUCUUUUUUCUCCUGUUUUUUUCUUCAUCAUACUAUAAAGCUUCGGUUUUCAGGAACAUUUUAGGAGUCAUCGUAAUGAAACACAAUGUUAUUUUACAUGAAAAACAAAGUUCAGCAUUUUAACUAUAUUUCAAAAAGGUGAUAGGCCACAAUAACUAGCAAAAAAAUUGAAAUGUGGGGGUGUGCUAUUUCUCUUGUAUAUGGGUGUAUAUUUUACCACCUGUUGACAAGAUACAGCUGUGAUAUAAUUUGAGGAGAUGAACAACAACUAAGCACUUAGAAAGAAUGAAAUACUCAUAUAUUAUCUAACCAAAAAAUAAAUCAUUCACAGAGAAUGAAAAUUGUGGACAUGAUUUUGGAGGUGACUUUAUCAUAAAUGAUGAAAAAGUUAAUUUACCUCCCAAAUGUAGACAUUUUCUUCAUGGGAAUGUUGGCCUCUGUGGCAGAGUAGCUUCAUAAAUAAAGUGAAUCCCACUGACAGGUUUGAGACCAUUUAUGUGAGUGAGCAGAAGAGAUCUUGGUUGGGCUUCAGGUAUUGUUUUAUAAAGAGAGGGUGCUAUAAAAAACUCAUGUAGCUUUUGUAUGAUACCCAAUAGAAUGCUUUAAGAUGUGAGUUCUUUGUGGUAGAUUUCUUAGUUUUAAUUUUAUGGAACUCUUUUCUUAAAUUCAAUUUGGUUUGAUGACAUUUGUAAACAAGUGGCUUAUUAGUUGAAUUGGAAUAUUAGGAGUUUUGCAGAGCAAAUAAAGAUUUUAACUAAAGGCAUUUUCAUGCUAAGGAUGGUUUACCUAAGGAUGGUCUUAGCUUCUGUUAAAAUAACUAGUGAACAUUCAUGGACUUCUAGUUAUAAAACAUGAUACUGUGGCCAUAAGACAACUUUUUACUCAGUAAUUUUUUUUCAAUGGCCAUAAGGUGACUUUCUGCUUAUUUAUUAAGACAUUUUUGGUUAUAUUUUGGGGGAAUAUUAGAAUGUCAGACUCAUAGAAUAAGUGUGAUACACCAUGUCUUCUGUUUUAUGCUGAGUGUGUUAGUUCUGCUAUCAUCUAUAAAGACAGAACUUUUCUAUAUAUAUUAAUAUAUGUAGCUUGGAGUCAGCUAUCUCGGUAGGCUCAUAAUUAUGAAGCUAUACUAAUAAUAUGAAAUUAUUCAUACUAACUCUUCCAGCUUAUAGCUUAUAAACGAACAUCCUCAAAAAUUUUACUAAAUAACCUGCCUUCUGCACAAAGGAUAAAGUUAAUUCACCUAGGAAACAUGAAACAUUUGUGCAUUUAUAAUUGUGGCCACAGAACAACAGGAAGGCUUCUUUAUCUUGUUAACUGACUCUCAUGCAGAAUUAGCUCUGUACUUUCAUUUUUUGCUCAAUAAGUAGCAAAAGCAAAAUUUUAAGAAGUAGAAUAGAUUAAUUGCUAAACAGAAAGCAUCGCAUCUGAAUUAUUGCCAAUCUGAGCAGAAAUAGACGAGAGAGAGAAAGAGAGAAAACUUAUACAGAUGCACUCACACAAUUUAAAAUAUUGAAAAGGCUUCCUUAGGUACAGCAUUAUUAAUGGAAUAAGGUUCUUUUUAGAGAAGCAAUGCAUAAAAUCACAUGGAGAUGAAAUGUUAACAAAAGAUGUAUAUCACGCUGCUUUAUGACUGGGUUCCCAAACACUUUAAGAGAUUUAAAAUUCUUCUCAAAAUAAGAAGGCUACCACCAUUUUAAUGAAAAACUUAUUAUAGGGAGGGGUGAUUUCAGAUAGACAGAUAGGUAAGUAGGUAGAUAGUCUUGUUUUCCUGAAGUAACUAUGGCAUAUAGUUCUUUAGUUCUUUGUCAUCAAUCUUAAGUAGAAUCCAUCUUACGCAGAAUAUUUUAUACCAACAUAGGCUCUGUCAGAAGGUUGUAACUGCUUGUGAAUGUGUGAUUUACGUGAACAUAUAGAGGACUCUUUUUGGCACCAAGCAAUGAGGUUCACUACAAACGAAUAAAAGACUGACUUAUUAGUCCACUAGUUUAUCUAAUGUUCAAGUUCAGUGCAGAAGCUUUUUAGCUUCCUUGUGUGAAUGUAAUAUCCUGGAAUGGGACCAUUUUUUUUUUAAACUUUAGUCUGCCUUAAGGUGAUGAGCACAUACAGCUCUUGUUAUUAAAUGAUCAUUUUUGUAAAUACUAUAAGAUUUUUGCUUUUCAGAAAAUAUUUUGGUAUGUAGAUGGGUCUGAUUUUUGUUCUUACCACAUGAAAUUUGUGUAUUUCCUACCAUGAAGUCAAAGUGACUCGGAUGGAGAAUGACAGUGUGUCCCCACAAGUAGAUAAGGAAGAAAAAUAGUGUUUAUGAAGAGGCAUAACAUCCGUAGGAUAUGGGGAAAUAGGAAGGAAUUUUAAAAUGUCUGGGUAAACAUAAAGCUUUUAUAAAAUCAGGAGGUAACCAAUAGAGCUCCAUUGACUUAAGUCAACAACAACUUAGCUUUAAUCCAUGAAUGAGAUCAAGUGAAUUCUCUGUAGCUUCAUCAGCUUAAACCACACAGUGUAAUUUAGUGUUUGAGUUAUUAUCACAGAUGUAAUGGCAUAUGUGAAGAGGGAAUGACCGUAGUCAGUUUUAGAAAUUUGAAGAAAAUCUAUUCUGGUUUUUUUUUGCUUCAGUGUUUUUCUUAUGCCUUAAAUCUUUAAUAUGUACACUGAUAAUGGGUGAUUAUCAAUAUUGUAAGUAAAGAUUAAGUUGAGCUCACUUUUAUAUGAUUUAUGUUUAGAACUACUCUUUGUCAUGAAAAUUAUUUGUGUUUUGAUAAAAUUAUAGGCAUUUAAGUUUUUAUUUCUGUAUUAGUGCACACUCUAAAGUAUAAAAGUUUACCGUAUCUUACAAGUAAACAGAUCUGUGUUUUUUAA